rnacentral:rRNA from 1 species
AACGUAGGAGGCUAGCGUUAUUCGGAUUUAUUGGGCGUAAAGCGCGUGCAGGCGGUCUAGCAAGUUGGAUGUGAAAGCUCCUGGCUCAACUGGGAGAGGUCGUUCAAUACUGUUAGACUAGAGAAUGGGAGAGGGAGGUGGAAUUCCGGGUGUAGUGGUGAAAUGCGUAGAUAUCCGGAGGAACACCAGUGGCGAAAGCGGCCUCCUGGACCAUUUCUGACGCUAAGACGCGAAAGCUAGGGUAGCAAACGGG